UAGAGUUUGAUCCUGGCUCAGGAUGAACGCUGGCGGCGUGCCUAAUACAUGCAAGUCGAGCGGAAAGGGGACUUCGGUGGUACUCGAGCGGCGGACGGCUGAGUAACGCGUAGGAACGUACCCCAAACUGAGGGAUAACUGCUCGAAAGAGUAGCUAAUACCGCAUGUGCUCUACGGAGUAAAGCUUCGGCGGUUUGGGAACGGCCUGCGUAUGAUUAGCUUGUUGGUGAGGUAAUGGCUCACCAAGGCGACGAUCAUUAGCUGGUCUGAGAGGGUGAUCAGCCAGACUGGGACUGAGACACGGCCCAGACUCCUACGGGAGGCAGCAGUAGGGAAUUUUCCACAAUGGGCGAAAGCCUGAUGGAGCAACGCCGCGUGCAGGAUGAAUGCCUUAGGGUUGUAAACUGCUUUUAUGAGUGAAGAUUAUGACGGUAGCUCAUGAAUAAGGAUCGGCUAACUCCGUGCCAGCAGCCGCGGUCAUACGGAGGAUCCAAGCGUUAUCCGGAAUUACUGGGCGUAAAGAGUUGCGUAGGCGGCAUAGCAAGUAGGUAGUAAAAUCCUGGGGCUCAACCCUUUAAAUAUUAUCUAAACUGCUAAGCUAGAAUAUGAGAGAGGUCGCUGGAAUUCCUAGUGUAGGAGUGAAAUCCGUAGAUAUUAGGAGGAACACCGAUGGCGUAGGCAGGCGACUGGCUCAUUAUUGACGCUAAGGCACGAAAGCGUGGGUAGCAAACGGGAUUAGAUACCCCGGUAGUCCACGCCGUAAACUAUGGAUGCUAGCUGUUACCAGUAUCGACCCUGGUAGUAGCGAAGCUAACGCGUUAAGCAUCCCGCCUGUGGAGUACGAGCGCAAGCUUA
rnacentral:rRNA from 1 species